rnacentral:lncRNA from 1 species
ACCGGGGCUUGCCUUCGUUCACAGGUGAGUCGGGUUCGGAUCCGCAAAUAUCGAAGUAAAAGCAGUUGCCUGCUUGAGAAUCCGAAGGUGGUGGUGUCCUUUCUUCGGGGACUUCUAUUUCUUCUUCACGUUCUAACAUAACCAUAUAUAUACAUAAGAAUGGAUGCCAUGGGAUGCUCAUGAGGAUGCAAAGAUAAUAUAAACUUAUUAUCUAUGUCUUGAAUACAACUUUCCUUCACGGAACUCCGAGAACUUAGGGUUUCCGGAGUCAACAGUGAAGUUCAAAGAGCAGGGGGGUGGGGGUUUUGGGUUCUAAUUAUCAAACAAGGUCCAAAUCAAACCAAAAUCUACCCAAGGCUUCUAAAUAACGUUUAGAGUUCAAAUAAAAAGUUUGGGCAUUUUUGGAAUAAUUAUCUAUUCUCUAGAAAUCCAGAACCAAUGUUUUAGGCUAUUUUAAAUGCUCCAAAAUUCCUUAUUUGACCUAAAAAUCAUAAAACUAUUUUUAUUAAAUACUAUGGAAAUUAGGAGUCUAGCAAAAUUGGUUUGAUAUUUUUAGCAUUUUUCUGAAAUUUUCUAUGGAUUUCUAAAGCUGAUUGGAAAAAGAAAAGGAAAAACUACUAACAGUGUUGGGCCCAAACCGCUGGCGCGGUCCAACAACCAGGCAAAGCUGGCCCAAACCCGGGAGCCCGCGCCCGCUUUGGCCAGCUUGCACAUAGGACCUUGCGCUCUGGUUAAAACAAUCAGAGCUCCCAGCCACUGUUGCUUGUGUCUCUGACAUCCUCGCUAAAACCCCUUGGCUUCCACUUAUUUACAAGCACUCGGCCCCGACACCGCCCAUACGGACUCCGGCGACCCAGCACCAGCUCGGCCAUGGUGGCGCAACACCGGCGACGGCGAUGGUACCCACGCGAACCCCGAAUCGCAGUGAACUCGGGUAUGGGCUCCAUCGAUCCAUGAGAAUUCCACAACCCAUCUAUCGACAGCGACGGCGGAACACUGGAUCCGACGAACUCAAUUCCCCGAUCACCGCACGGUAGUGUUCAAACAAACGGGCCAGGGAGCUUUAGAGACCUCUCAAGUCUACGGUGCACGCGCGCAAUCGCUCGGGAAUGGCGCGGUUAAUACGGUCCACACCGAGGCUGUCCUCGGUGCCCGACCGCGACGGCGCGACCGUGUUCUACUCAACGUAUGGCGGUAGAGCUUGAACAAAUCACUUGAUCAGCAGCCAUUGACCAAUACAGAUCAUGGAACACAAGCCACACGGGUGAGAAACUUUCUGAGCAUACCUGGCCACGGUGAAGUGGAAUAUCUGCAGGUGUGGUCACCAGACACGUUCAGUGCCUUAAUCGAUGGAAUUGGGCGCGUCCAGGGUAUGAUUUGGGGAAGGAAGAGCAAUACUGCUGACUGAAGCUACUCACUAUGAUUGAUGAUCGAAGCACGGAUCACUGAACUGGCCUAUGCUUUCUUUCCCUCCCCUGUUGCUCUUUAUAUAGGAAGGGAAAAGAUCAAGGGGGGUUGGAUUCUGGAACUUGCAGCAAGGAUAACUGUGAGCAUGGGAUGCAGUCGUGGCUUACUCCAGAAGAUCCACGCAGAUUCACAGAAUACAGCCAUGCAGGGUGACGAUUAUCCAUGGAAAAAGGAGGGGGUAAGGGUGGAGCGCACUGUAGCAGAUUUUUCUACUGAUGAUAUUUCAGCUAUGCACGAGUCUGGAUAUUUCUGCUCCUUCUUAUCCCAACCACCGCUCUAUUUCACAGUGGGACACGACAGGGGAAGAAAAUAUUAGAGCCAGAUAUUUCUUAC